UGUAGCGGUGAAAUGCGUAGAGAUCGGGAGGAAUACCAGUGGCGAAGGCGGCUUUCUGGACUGACACUGACACUGAGGUGCGAAAGCGUGGGUAGCAAACAGGAUUAGAUACCCUGGUAGUCCACGCCGUAAACGAUGUCGACCAGCCGUUGGGUGCCUAGCGCACUUUGUGGCGAAGUUAACGCGAUAAGUCGACCGCCUGGGGAGUACGGCCGCAAGGUUAAAACUCAAAUGAAUUGACGGGGGCCCGCACAAGCGGUGGAGCAUGUGGUUUAAUUCGAUGCAACGCGAAGAACCUUACCUACUCUUGACAUCCUGCGAACUUGUGAGAGAUCACUUGGUGCCUUCGGGAGCGCAGAGACAGGUGCUGCAUGGCUGUCGUCAGCUCGUGUUGUGAAAUGUUGGGUUAAGUCCCGUAACGAGCGCAACCCUUGUCCUUAUUUGCCAGCGGGUAAUGCCGGGAACUCUAAGGAGACUGCCGGUGACAAACCGGAGGAAGGUGGGGACGACGUCAAGUCAUCAUGGCCCUUACGAGUAGGGCUACACACGUGCUACAAUGGCCGGUACAAAGGGUUGCGAGCUCGCGAGAGUCAGCUAAUCCCGAAAAGCCGGUCUCAGUCCGGAUCGGAGUCUGCAACUCGACUCCGUGAAGUCGGAAUCGCUAGUAAUCGUGAAUCAGAAUGUCACGGUGAAUACGUUCCCGGGCCUUGUACACACCGCCCGU
rnacentral:rRNA from 1 species